CUUCGGGUGGGGAUUAGUGGCGAACGGGUGAGUAACACGUGGGCAAUCUGCCCUGCACUCUGGGACAAGCCCUGGAAACGGGGUCUAAUACCGGAUACUGACCCUCGCAGGCAUCUGCGAGGUUCGAAAGCUCCGGCGGUGCAGGAUGAGCCCGCGGCCUAUCAGCUAGUUGGUGAGGUAAUGGCUCACCAAGGCGACGACGGGUAGCCGGCCUGAGAGGGCGACCGGCCACACUGGGACUGAGACACGGCCCAGACUCCUACGGGAGGCAGCAGUGGGGAAUAUUGCACAAUGGGCGAAAGCCUGAUGCAGCGACGCCGCGUGAGGGAUGACGGCCUUCGGGUUGUAAACCUCUUUCAGCAGGGAAGAAGCGAAAGUGACGGUACCUGCAGAAGAAGCGCCGGCUAACUACGUGCCAGCAGCCGCGGUAAUACGUAGGGCGCAAGCGUUGUCCGGAAUUAUUGGGCGUAAAGAGCUCGUAGGCGGCUUGUCACGUCGGUUGUGAAAGCCCGGGGCUUAACCCCGGGUCUGCAGUCGAUACGGGCAGGCUAGAGUUCGGUAGGGGAGAUCGGAAUUCCUGGUGUAGCGGUGAAAUGCGCAGAUAUCAGGAGGAACACCGGUGGCGAAGGCGGAUCUCUGGGCCGAUACUGACGCUGAGGAGCGAAAGCGUGGGGAGCGAACAGGAUUAGAUACCCUGGUAGUCCACGCCGUAAACGGUGGGCACUAGGUGUGGGCAACAUUCCACGUUGUCCGUGCCGCAGCUAACGCAUUAAGUGCCCCGCCUGGGGAGUACGGCCGCAAGGCUAAAACUCAAAGGAAUUGACGGGGGCCCGCACAAGCGGCGGAGCAUGUGGCUUAAUUCGACGCAACGCGAAGAACCUUACCAAGGCUUGACAUACACCGGAAAACCCUGGAGACAGGGUCCCCCUUGUGGUCGGUGUACAGGUGGUGCAUGGCUGUCGUCAGCUCGUGUCGUGAGAAUGUUGGGUAAGUCCCGCAACGAGCGCAACCCUUGUCCCGUGUUGCCAGCAGGCCCUUGUGGUGCUGGGGACUCACGGGAGACCGCCGGGGUCAACUCGGAGGAAGGUGGGGACGACGUCAAGUCAUCAUGCCCCUUAUGUCUUGGGCUGCACACGUGCUACAAUGGCCGGUACAAUGAGCUGCGAUACCGCGAGGUGGAGCGAAUCUCAAAAAGCCGGUCUCAGUUCGGAUUGGGGUCUGCAACUCGACCCCAUGAAGUCGGAGUCGCUAGUAAUCGCAGAUCAGCAUUGCUGCGGUGAAUACGUUCCCGGGCCUUGUACACACCGCCCGUCACGUCACGAAAGUCGGUAACACCCGAAG
rnacentral:rRNA from 1 species